rfam:Oryza meridionalis cultivar OR44 (W2112) chromosome 2, whole genome shotgun sequence.
UAUAAAUACAGCGAUGAGUUUUCGUAUCCAAUUUUAAUCAUCCGUCUUAUUUAAAUUUUUUUAUAAUUAAUAUUAUUAUUAUUAUUAGAUAAUAAAAUAUAAAUAAUAUUUUAUAAGCGAUUAUUUUUUUAAAAAAACAUAAAUUUAAUAUGAAUGGUUAAACAUUUGAUGCGAAACACAUAAAUGCAUUUAAU